UCCCUGGUAGUAUAUCGGUUUAGUACACGCGCCUGUCAUAAUGCCGCCAGGGUGAGAUGAUUUCUAUGCGCGCGAAAGCUGGGUUCGACUCCCAGCCAGGGAG
rnacentral:tRNA from 1 species